AACGUAGGUGGCGAGCGUUGUCCGGAAUUAUUGGGCGUAAAGGGCGCGUAGGCGGAUAUUUAAGUCAGUUGUGAAACCUCCGGGCUCAACCCGGAACUUGCAGUUGAAACUGGAUAACUUGAGUGCAGGAGAGGACAGUGGAAUUCCUAGUGUAGCGGUGAAAUGCGUAGAUAUUAGGAGGAACACCAGUGGCGAAGGCGGCUGUCUGGACUGUAACUGACGCUGAGGCGCGAAAGCGUGGGGAGCAAACAGGAUUAGAUACCCGGGUAGUCCCUGAG
rnacentral:rRNA from 1 species